rnacentral:rRNA from 1 species
UACGUAGGGUCCGAGCGUUGUCCGGAAUUACUGGGCGUAAAGAGCUCGUAGGUGGUUUUGUCGCGUUGUUCGUGAAAACUCACAGCUCAACUGUGGGCGUGCGGGCGAUACGGGGCAGACUUGAGUACUGCAGGGGAGACUGGAAUUCCUGGUGUAGCGGUGGAAAUGCGCAGAUAUCAGGAGGAACACCGGUGGCGAAGGCGGGUCUCUGGGCAGUAACUGACGCUGGAGGAGCGAAAGCGUGGGGAGCGAACAGG